UCUUUUUUUGAGGGCAUUUGCAGGUAUUAUGCAAAUGUGUUACUUGGUGACAUCACCACUUUAUGUAAGAAAAGGCGGGACAUCAAGCAAAGCAUUUCAGGCAGUUCAGGAGAAGUGUUUCUGUGGGGGAGAGUAACUCCCUUUGG